rnacentral:rRNA from 1 species
CCCUUAGAUGUUCUGGGCCGCACGCGCGCUACACUGAUGCAUUCAACGAGUCUAAAACCUGGUCUGAUAGGGCUGGGUAAUCUUUUGAAAGUGCAUCGUGAUUGGGAUAGAUGAUUGCAAUUCUUCAUCUUCAACGAGGAAUGCCUAGUAAACGCAAGUCAUCAGCUUGCAUUGAUUAAGUCCCUGCCCUUUGUACACACCGCCCGUCGCUCCUACCGAUUGAAUGAUCCGAUGAAUACCAUGGAUUGAGAGUACGAAUGGGUUCGCUCAUUUCUGCUGCUCGAGAAGUGGAGUAAAUCUUAUCAUUUAGAGGAAGGAGAAGUCGUAACA